UUACCGAAGCUUGGUCGCACCCCAAGGUUAUAAAGUGAAUGCGUUAGGAAAAGCAAACUGCCAGCUGCGUUUGUCCGCUAUUCCCCCCUUUUCUCCUCCUCCUCCUAUGCUUUUUCUGGGUAAAGGAGUCACGUCUUACAGCGUUGCGCUGUGCGAUCACCGUCGGUCUCGCGACCUGACUGUGUUCCCUUUGACAAGAAACUUGACUAGAAUCCGACGCUAGCCGUGCAUCUGCUAGGCAGGUACUGAGGAAGUAACGUCUUACAGCAUUGUGCUGUGCGAUCGAUCACGGCGCGGAGUCUCUUCCAAUCCAGCGGUCGGUUGCGUNNNUCGUUGAUCGUUAGGAUCGACUGCCCCAGCGUCUCCCUCGGCUGAUCGAGAGACCGGGCUGUGCGCGUUCUCUUUGACGGGAACCCAUUGUACCUACUACUAGUGGCUCGGCUGGCCGCUCGGAAGCUUGGCAGAGAAGAGAGAAGGCGGAGUACCGAGGACGAACCCGGAAUGGCUAUUUGUAACAUGGAAAGAAACCCCGCGAAAGAAUUGCAUUAUGCGAUGUCGGCGAGAGCGUCUCGCCGAGCUUUGCUAAGCUCGAAUCAAAGCGUACCCACAUUUCAACCCCAACAAACUCUGAAUCUGAACUAAAAAGGAGGSSCGGUCCUCUGCGACCGCCGCGCCUUCUC
rnacentral:rRNA from 1 species